GACGGAGGGUGCUAGCGUUGUUCGGAAUCACUGGGCGUAAAGGGCGCGUAGGCGGCAUGGCGUGUCGGCUUUGUGAAAGCCCGGGGCUCAACCCCGGAGGUGCGGCCGAAACUGCUGUGCUGGAGGCCGGAAGAGGAGGGUGGAAUACCCAGUGUAGAGGUGAAAUUCGUAGAUAUUGGGUGGAACACCGGUGGCGAAAGCGGCUCUCUGGUCCGGGCCUGACGCUGAGGCGCGAAAGCGUGGGGAGCAAACAGGAUUAGAAACCCCAGUAGUCC
rnacentral:rRNA from 1 species